AUUGAACGCUGGCGGCAUGCCUUACACAUGCAAGUCGAACGGCAGCGCGGGAGCAAUCCUGGCGGCGAGUGGCGAACGGGUGAGUAAUACAUCGGAACGUGCCCAAUCGUGGGGGAUAACGCAGCGAAAGCUGUGCUAAUACCGCAUACGAUCUACGGAUGAAAGCAGGGGAUCGCAAGACCUUGCGCGAAUGGAGCGGCCGAUGGCAGAUUAGGUAGUUGGUGAGGUAAAGGCUCACCAAGCCUUCGAUCUGUAGCUGGUCUGAGAGGACGACCAGCCACACUGGGACUGAGACACGGCCCAGACUCCUACGGGAGGCAGCAGUGGGGAAUUUUAGACAAUGGGCGAAAGCCUGAUCCAGCCAUGCCGCGUGCAGGAUGAAGGCCUUCGGGUUGUAAACUGCUUUUGUACGGAACGAAACGGUCUUUUCUAAUAAAGAAGGCUAAUGACGGUACCGGAAGAAUAAGCACCGGCUAACUACGUG
rnacentral:rRNA from 1 species